rnacentral:rRNA from 1 species
GACGAACGCUGGCGGCGUGCUUAACACAUGCAAGUCGAACGGAAAGGCCCUGCUUGUAGGGUGCUCUAGUGUCGCACGGGGGUGUAACACCUGGGUGAACUGUCCUCCACAUUUGGAUAAGCCUGGGAAACUGUGGCUCUCACCUGGGAUCAGCCAUUCUUAGGCUUGUUGGUGUUUAGUUUUUUCGGUUUGUGAUGGACUCGCGGGCUAUCAGCUUGUUUGUGGGUUAAUGGCUUACCAAGCCGGCGUCUGGCAGCCUGCCUGAGAGGGUGGUCGGCCACAUUGGGACUGAGAUACGGCCCAGACUCCUACGGGAGGCAGCAGUGGGGAAUAUUGCACAAUGGGCGGAAGCCUGAUGCAGCGACGCCGCGUGGGGGAUGACGGCCUUCGGGUUGUAAACCGCUUUCGCUAGGGACGAAGCUUUUGUGACGGUAACUGGAGAAGAAGCACCGGCUAACUACGUG